rnacentral:lncRNA from 1 species
CACUGGGCAGUUCUACACAUGGUGUGAUAGGAAGCAUCCAGUCAAGAGCGACCAUCUCUUGCGGUGAAACCUUCGAACUGGACUCUCGGGGAGACAUAAUGGCAUGGUGUGCAGUCAGCAUGCUCGGAUUUCAUUGAUACCAUGGAAAAAUAGGUGUCAGAUAUAUCCUGCAGCUCAAGUUAUGGCGGCAGGCUGACUCUACAUUGAUUAUAGAGUCACUCUGCCGAUUGAGGAUUCAUUGGUAAAGCGAGAGGUAAGACAUAUUCUUGCUCUGGUAGAGUGAUUCAGAAAAGACUAAGACGUUGGAUGGGCGAGUGGAAGCUGCCUUGGUGCGAAACUAACUGCGUGGUCUGGCCAUUGGAAACACUGCGAUGCGCUUAUGGCUACAAGACCGAACAUUGUCUUGUAUAUGAGCAUGAUGGCCGCAGCUGACCGGAAGGGACAAGCGGACACGUUUGCGGUCACCAUGAAGUUCUUCUUGCUUAUCGCUAUCCUUGUCGUGGGCCUGCUGUGCGUCCAGGCGCAGUUCGGUCGCGGUGGCCGUGGCUACGGAGGAGGCUUCGGCCGCGGUUACGGAGGAGGCUACGGUCGCGGUUAUGGAGGCGGUUUCGGACGUGGCUAUGGACGUGGAUAUGGACGUGGAUACUACGGGUGACCAACGAAUCCUGCUGUGGGCACUUGCAAUACAUUGAAGACUGUGGACAACGACAAGACAGCGCACCUCACGAACCUGGAAAUUUUGAAUAAAGCGUCUGUAGAUUCA